UACGAAGGGUGCAAGCGUUACUCGGAAUUACUGGGCGUAAAGCGUGCGUAGGUGGUUUGUUAAGUCUGAUGUGAAAGCCCUGGGCUCAACCUGGGAAUUGCAUUGGAUACUGGCAGGCUAGAGUGCGGUAGAGGAUGGCGGAAUUCCCGGUGUAGCAGUGAAAUGCGUAGAGAUCGGGAGGAACAUCUGUGGUGAAGGCGGCCAUCUGGACCAGCACUGACACUGAGGCACGAAAGCGUGGGGAGCAAACAGG
rnacentral:rRNA from 1 species